AUACAGAGGGUGCAAGCGUUAUUCGGAAUUACUGGGCGUAAAGCGCGCGUAGGCGGAUGAUUAAGUCAGUUGUGAAAGCCCUGGGCUCAACCUAGGAACUGCAUCUGAUACUGGUCAUCUAGAGUUUAAGAGAGGGAAGUGGAAUUCCAGGUGUAGCAGUGAAAUGCGUAGAUAUCUGGAGGAACAUCAGUGGCGAAGGCGACUUCCUGGCUUAGAACUGACGCUGAGGUGCGAAAGCGUGGGUAGCGAACGGAAUUAGAAACCCCAGUAGUCC
rnacentral:rRNA from 1 species